rnacentral:rRNA from 1 species
GCUAUUUAUAAUUGAGAUUAAUAUAUAAAGAUUAAUAUUAUAAUCAUAAAGUAUUUAUUAAUGAAAUAUGGUUUAAGGCUAUAGUUUACAAGUACUGAAUAGGAAAUAACAUCAUUAGUUUAAAAAUUUUAAGUAAAUGUUAAUUAUUGUACCUCGUGUAUCAGGGAUAAUCAAAUUAUUACAAGUAGGUCUGUAAGUCCCGAAUUAAGGAUAGCUAAUAUUUUAAAUUAGUUUUUGUAAUAUAAAAAUUUGAAAUUUAAUAUUAAAGAUGAUAUGUCAGACGAGCCUUACAAUAUCUGGUUUUCUAAGAAUAAAAUAUAAUUUGAUUAUUAAGUUAUAUUAAUUUAAUAAUGAAGGGUAGGAGGGAUUAGCUUCUUAUCACUAAAAAAAUCACUUAGUAGAUUUAUAAAAUUAAUUAUUUUUUUUCUAGGCUUAAGAGUAGCCAUGAUAAUAAAGUGUUUUAAUUUAGAUAUAUUAUUAAAAUAUUUUAUAAAAUCUCUAAAAGGUAUUAGAAUAUUAAUUGAAUUAAUAAAAAUAAAGAAAAAAUGAUUAUAUUAGUAAAGUAAAUUUAUAACGAGUAAGUUUAUAAAGUAAAUAGUAAUAAAUUAUAAUAAUGUUUUGAAAUUUAAAAGGAACUCGGCAAAAAUUUCUUCUUGCCUGUUUAUCAAAAACAUGGCUAUUAUGAGGUUGUUAAUAGUCUAGCCUGCUCACUGAUAGAAUUUAUUAAAUAGCCGCGGUAUCUUGACCGUGCAAAGGUAGCAUAAUCAUUAGUUUUUUAAUUGGAAACUUGUAUGAAUGGUUGGACAAAGAAGAAGCUGUCUCUUGUUAUUAAUAUUGAACUUAACUUUUAAGUGAAAAGGCUUAAAUAUUCUAGAGGGACGAUAAGACCCUAUAAAGCUUUAUAAACUUAUAAAUUUUAUAUGUUUUUUUAUAAAAAUAAUCUUUCGAAGGUUUAUUUAGUUGGGGCGACAAUGAUAUAAAUAAUAUAACUGUCAUAAAAUAUAACAAAUAUAUUUGUUUAAUAAGGAAUAAUUGAUCCUUUAUAAGGAUUUUAAGAUCAAGUUACUUUAGGGAUAACAGCGUUAUUUUUCUUGAGAGUUCUUAUCAAAGGAAAAGUUUGCGACCUCGAUGUUGAAUUAAAAUGUCUUUAUAGUGCAGCAGCUAUAAAAGAAGGUCUGUUCGACCUUUAAUAUUUUACAUGAUUUGAGUUCAGACCGGCGGGAGCCAGGUCGGUUUCUAUCUUCUAGUAUAAAAAUGAUUAUCUUAGUACGAAAGGAUUAGAUAGUCAAAAAUUUUUUAAUGUAGUUGGAAU